GGUAGAGUGGCCGAGCGGUCCAAGGCGCUGGUUUAAGGCACCAGUCUCUUCGGGGGCAUGGGUUCGAAUCCCAUCGCUGCCA
rnacentral:tRNA from 2 species